rnacentral:rRNA from 1 species
GUGGGGAAUUUUGGACAAUGGGCGCAAGCCUGAUCCAGCAAUGCCGCGUGCAGGAAGAAGGCCUUCGGGUUGUAAACUGCUUUUGUACGGAACGAAACGGUCCUGGCUAAUAUCCGGGGCUAAUGACGGUACCGUAAGAAUAAGCACCGGCUAACUACGUGCCAGCAGCCGCGGUAAUACGUAGGGUGCGAGCGUUAAUCGGAAUUACUGGGCGUAAAGCGCGCGCAGGCGGUUAUAUAAGACAGAUGUGAAAUCCCCGGGCUCAACCUGGGAACUGCAUUUGUGACUGUAUAGCUAGAGUACGGUAGAGGGGGAUGGAAUUCCGCGUGUAGCAGUGAAAUGCGUAGAUAUGCGGAGGAACACCGAUGGCGAAGGCAGCCUCCUGGGAUAACACUGACGCUCAGGCACGAAAGCGUGGGGAGCAAACAGGAUUAGAUACCCGGGUAGUCC